CAGCCGCCGCGGUAAUACGAAGGGUGCAAGCGUUACUCGGAAUUACUGGGCGUAAAGCGUGCGUAGGUGGUGGUUUAAGUCUGCUGUGAAAGCCCUGGGCUCAACCUGGGAAUUGCAGUGGAUACUGGAUCACUAGAGUGUGGUAGAGGGAUGCGGAAUUUCUGGUGUAGCAGUGAAAUGCGUAGAGAUCAGAAGGAACAUCCGUGGCGAAGGCGGCAUCCUGGGCCAACACUGACACUGAGGCACGAAAGCGUGGGGAGCAAACAGGAUUAGAUACCCGCGUAGUCCCUGUCUCUUAUAC
rnacentral:rRNA from 1 species